rnacentral:rRNA from 1 species
GUCCACGCCGUAAACGGUGGGCACUAGGUGUGGGUCACAUUCCACGUGAUCCGUGCCGCAGCUAACGCAUUAAGUGCCCCGCCUGGGGAGUACGGCCGCAAGGCUAAAACUCAAAGGAAUUGACGGGGGCCCGCACAAGCGGCGGAGCAUGCGGCUUAAUUCGACGCAACGCGAAGAACCUUACCAAGGCUUGACAUAUACAGGAAUAUGGCAGAGAUGUCAUAGCCGCAAGGUCUGUAUACAGGUGGUGCAUGGUUGUCGU